AGUUGCGAACGAAAUGUGGAAAGCACAGCAUCACAAUUGAGGCGAAGCUUCAAGUUGUAGUUUCAGGAGGCAUUUCCAAUAGACAAACAGAUAUGAGACCUUUGGAAAGGGGCGCCAUAGAGGGUUAGAGUCCCGCUUGUUGUCUGGUGCUGUCUGUGCAUGGAGUGUUCUCAACGAGUAGCAUUCCUUAGGAUUGGAGUGUGAAAUUGGUGGUACAUGUCACCAAAUGCGAAAUGCCAGCUUGAGACUGAUAGCGAACAAGUACCAUGAGGGAAAGGUGAAAAGGACUUUGGAAAGAGAGUUAAAAGUGCAUGAAGUUUCUGCAAGGAAAGUGAGUAGGACUGACACUUCUUGUCUUGAUUGCUGUAUUCGCGACGUGCAGUGGCACUUGCUUGCAAGUGAGUUUGCGUGUCGUACUUGCAGUGGUUCUGGGCUUGUGCGUCAAAGAUUGUGCAUGUUGGUGGCUACCUUUGCUUGUGUGACUGUUGGCUUGCCAUCAGACGCUGCAAAAGCGCGCCGACAAUGCCCAAUGUAGGGUUGGACUGGGUUUCCAGUUCGCCUCUUUUGACCAUUCUGUUCCACUCAACCCGUCUUGAAACACGGAUCAAGGAGCCUGACGUGUGUGCGAGUCAUCAUGCUGAACGCCUUCUGGCAAAGUGAAAGCAAUUGCUGGCAUUCUUGCACCAGCACCCAACUUACUCUUUGUGAAAAGUUUGCGCUUGAGCAUGCGUGUCCGGACCCGAAAGGUGGUGAACUAUGCCCUGUGAAGGGCAAAGUCAGAUGAAACUCUGAUGAAAGCUCGUAGUGAUACUGACGUGCAAAUCGUUCGUCUGACCUGGGUAUAGGGGCGAAAGACUAAUCGAAUCACCUAGUAGCUGGUUCCCUCCGAAGUUUCCCUCAGGAUAGCUGGAGUUUGUUGAGUUUUAUCAGGUAAAGCGAAUGAUAUGAGGAAUUGGGGGCGUGCUGCCCUUGACCUACUCUCAAACUUUUAAUGGGUAAGCUCUCCGAGUUUCGUGACUGAACUCUGGGGGUUGAAUCGAAGCUCCAAGUGGGCCACUUUUGGUAAGCAGGACUGGUGAUGAGGGAUGAACCUUGCGCUGGGGUAAGGUGCCAAAUUGCCCGUUCAUGAGAUACCACAAAGGGUGUUGGUUCAUUUUAACAGCAGGACGGUGGUCAUGGAAGUUGAAAUCCGCUAAGGAGUGUGUAACAACUCACCUGCCGAAUGGACUAGCCCCGAAAAUGGAUGGCGCUUAAACGAUUGACCGAAACCUGGCCACUGUUGUGACAUCUAGAGUGUGUAGGGGGGUAUGGCAGUUGUGCAAAAAGUCUUGG
rnacentral:rRNA from 1 species